UCAAGGCGCAUUUUAUUAGUUUGUAUAUUAGUGCAGUACUUUGCUAUGGAGUGGUCACUCUUUUGGUCGUGUAAUUAAGAGGGCUAAUGCACUUCUCUUUAUGUGCGUUGUGAUGUUGAUCAUAGCGUAUGAUUACCAUGCCAUUAGCAAAAAAGCAGUGCAAGAAUCGGAGAUACGCGUUUGGAACGGCUACGUCGUCUUUUGGAAGCUCAUUAAGGAGACGCCUCAAUGCGAGAUCUAUAUGUAUUGAGAUGUCUCCUUAUGCCUGCCCAUUGACAACCGCUGAAGGUGGAUUGUCUGGGAGACGUGGGCACUCAAACGAGAAGGAGCACAUUUCCGCAUAGCUACCCCGUUCGUGGUUCGCCGAAUCACUUAUAGCUAUUUCACACCGCUUCUGACGAAGAUUGGACUUCAACGCGUUUUUUUAGUAUAUCCUUCACCGGGCUUAGAUUGACUUUAUAAGCAUUUUCGUUGGUUAGAAUUGUACUGAAAGGUAUAUUUCAAAGUUGAACCAAAAUGAGGAUUUUAAGUAAUUCAGUUUGAAGGUCUCAAUAGAGACGAGGAAUGAUAUCUGACAGCUCACCAAAACCUACUUUUAAAAGCUACUUUCAGUAUCAAAAGAUUAUCUACAAUGACAACAUCGCCGUCAAUAGCAUACCAAAUUUCAAUGAUGGCUGCAGAUGCAUAUUUUACAGCAAACAGAAUUUUUGGUGGACACGCUUCAUUCGAAGAAUUUUCGAAAUAAGCCCACCUCUUCAUACUUCAUCCGUGUAGUAAUAAUUUGUGGGAAGUUACAGAUGAGAGUGAACUAAGCAAUAGGUUCCCAAAAUUCCAACGCACUGUUAAUACAAAUUGAUUAAAACAUCUUUUUUAUAAAAAUAUAUUGAAAUUAUGUUUGAAGUUA